UGGGGAAUUUUGGGCAAUGGGCGAAAGCCUGACCCAGCAACGCCGCGUGAAGGAUGAAGUAUUUCGGUAUGUAAACUUCGUAAGAAUAGGAAGAAUAAAUGACGGUACUAUUUGUAAGGUCCGGCUAACUACGUGCCAGCAGCCGCGGUAAUACGUAGGGACCAAGCGUUGUUCGGAUUUACUGGGCGUAAAGGGCGCGUAGGCGGCGUGGUAAGUCAUCUGUGAAAUCUCCGAGCUUAACUCGGAACGGUCAGAUGAUACUGCUGUGCUAGAGUACAGAAAGGGCAAUCGGAAUUCUUGGUGUAGCGGUGAAAUGCGUAGAUAUCAAGAGGAACACCUGAGGCGAAGGCGGGUUGCUAGGCUGAUACUGACGCUGAGGCGCGAAAGCUAGGGUAGCAAACGGGAUUAGAUACCCCCGUAGUCCCUGAGCGGGCUGGCAAGGCGCAU
rnacentral:rRNA from 1 species